ACCAUUUCCAUACAGGUGGUGCUUUUGGUGUUCGAAGGACUAUUUUUGAUUUUAGGUGGAGGAUAUAGUUGUUUUAAAAAGUAUCAUUAGAUCAACAAAAACAGUUGCAAUUGAAGUACUUAAAUGUACAGACCUAUCUAAAGAAGUAAAAGGGGAAGAACUAGGAUCUGACUAAUAUGGAAGGUACAUGUUCAAGUGCCAGUCAAACU